rnacentral:lncRNA from 1 species
UCGAACCCGAGUCCCAGGAUUCCGGGAACUGGAGGGCAGCGCCGGCAGCCAAGGUAAGAUUCCUGAGCCCCGGGCGUCUCCUGCGAACCUCUGUGGUUGGGGUGGGCAGCGUGGCGGCCGCCGAGCCCCGCUGGCCGUCUCCGCAGAUGACCAGACUCGUCGCCGCGGCCGCACGUGUGGGUGCCUGCGGGAACCCGGAGACCCGGCAUCUCCAAGCCAGGCCUAGAGGCAGAGCAGGACCCCGGGUCUCUCGCACACACACAUCCUCCACUAGCCGGUGCCUCUGGAAAGCCUGCUCAGAUUCCCGAACAGCCAGUCCUAGGAGGAAAAAAAAAAAAAAAAAGAGUUUCUGUUACCCAAAGCGACUGCAGCGUUGGAGCUGAGUGCACAUUAGAUCCAAAACACCAUUUCUCAAACUUGCCUGCACGUUGGAGUCGCUUGGGAAGCACUGAAAAAUACUGAUGCCCCGUUUCCCUCUCACCCCACCCUCCUCCGAGACUCAGAUGUAAGUGGUCUGGGUUGGGGCCUGGGCAUCUGGAAAUUUAAAGCUUCCCAGGAGAUUCCAACUAGCCAUCAAGUCUAAGGACCCUUGAUCUAAAAAGGUUGUAGAAAAUAAAGCGGCGGACAGUUGCUGCAGCGAAGAAUGCUGCUGCUGCUUCUCCUCCUCCUUCUUCAGCAUGCCUUUGACAGGAAACAUCUCCUUUGAGCUGUCAAACCCAAGAUAACAAACCAACAUCCUCCCUCCCCACAGGGCUGGUUCUAAAGAGGUUGAACUUGAAAGUGGACAGGGAACAGAAAGACACAGAUGUAGAAUAUGAAAGAAGACUCUUGUGGGGGGGGGGGGUUCUCCUUAUCCUGAUCCCACAGGAAGUUCAGGGGGCCUCCUGGAGCUGCCAUUAUAAUUUUAGUAAAUGCUGCGCAUACAGCAAAGCGGUUGUGAGCAUGGGCUUGGAGUCCCCAGAGCCAGCCCUUCCUAGGCUGGAUGACCCUUGAAAAACUCAUGGAUCCACUCCUCGCCUGAGUUUCUUCAUCUGCAAAAUGGGAGUGGAGCAGAAAGGUCUGAGAGUUGCUGUGGGAAUGAUUGACCGCCAGGGUCUGCUUGUGCCGGCCACUGUGCUAAAUACUUUCUCUGCAUUGCCACACUGACUCCUCACCAUAGCUGAGGAGCCGGUGCUCAGAGAGGCCAAGAGACUUGCUCAGGGUUAAAUAAUAAGAGGCAGACCCUGUGUUUGAACCCAGGCAGUCUGAUUCCAGAGCCCCUGGCAAAAGUAAAAUAAUCUGGGCGUUCCCUUUAUGGCUCAGCCGAAACAAAUCUGACUAGCAUCCAUGAGGACACAGGUUCAAUCCCUGGCCUCGCUCAGUGGAUUAAGAAUCUGGCAUUGCUGUGAGCUGUGGUGUAGGUCACAGAUGUGGCUCAGAUCCCAAGCUGCUAGCUGCUGGCCUAUGCCACAGCCAUAACAACGUGGGACCCUAGCUUUGUCUGAGACCUACACCACAGCUCACAGCAACACCGGAUCCUUAACCCACUGAGUGAGGCCAGGGCUUGAACCCACAACUUCGUGGCUCCUAGUCGGAUUUGUUUCCUCUGGCCACGACGGGAACUCCCGUUUCUCGCAAAUUUGAUCAAAGAAAGAAGAAAGGAAAAAAGUGAAGAUGACAAGUGAAUUAUUGCUAUUAGAGGAAAACUGCCUUUAAAAGUUCCUCUUUUUUAUCUAGCCGAAAUCUAUCUCCCUGUGUCUGUCACCCCUUGGUUCUCAUACUUUCUUCUGGAGCCCCAGGGAACAAAUCCAUCCCCUUUUCAUCACUGCAGGCCUUCAGAUAUUUGAUGACAGGGAAGCAGUUGGGCCUCCCAGAUCUUCCUGGCUCUAGAUUAAACACUGCCAACUCCUUCUGCUUGUUUUCUAUUGCGUAUUCUUGGCAUCUCCCCCCAAUCUCUCUUCCUUAUUCUUUUUUAUUCAGCAGAACAUAUAAGGUUAUUUUGGUGGCUGUAGCACUCUUUUCACAGGCCUCCCACAGCCCAUUCUGGGCUCUGGGUAGAUGGCUGUGGUUGGGGUGAUUGACAUGACCGAGUAGCCGGCUAGCAAUGUCAAGAGAAGAACCCCUCAGGGCCAGCAUGGCAGGGGAGCUGGAGGCUGGCAAGGCUCAUCUGCAGGUCAGAGAUGGAGCUCCUUUUGUGCACGUGGAGCUAAUCAGGCUGAAAGGGACAGGCUAACCAAAUUCACAGCAACCUGGUGAGGAAGCCAGACCACAAAUAUAUUAAAUCACAGUGGGACAAGCACUGAGAAGCAGCCUGAGAACUUUAUGUCAGCCUGUCAGCACAUUCUUUCCCCCGUAGGAAAGUCACAUGGGUUGCCAAAAUCUAGUUAGGAGGUUGGUAUUCACGGAAUCAAAACAAGGUGAGCAAGAUGAAUGAUUUUAAUAGCCAAGAUGACUUAAGAUAUUUCCAUCCUCUGAGGGGCGCGCAAGGGUCCAGAAUGGCAGGGGGGCUGGUCUAAUCGCCCACCCCUGUGCUCACGAUAGACAUGACUAAUCAAUUACCAAAUCUUUGCCUUCCCAUUGCUCCCUGGACCAACCUUAAGAUCCUUAUCAAGAGAGGAUUCGGGGAAGCUCUGAGCUGCCUGUAAUGCUCAAGGGUUUCCAGAGCUCCCAUUACUCUGGUGGGAGGCAAGGUAAACUCCCAAAGAUGUGCUCCUUCUUACUGCUUUUCCUCAGCUCCUCACAUCUCACCAUUUCUCUCUAUGUAAUAUUGCUUCAGCUAAUGUUAAUACAGUUGGCUUUUUUUUUUUUUCCAUUGUCAAGCCUUGAUUUGAUUUCCAGGCCUUGCUCUUCCUGCUUUGUCCAGAGGCACAUCCUGUCCUAUCCUUAAGAACUUUAGCAGAUCAGUAAUCACAGACAUCUUAUGUACCUACCACUGAUUCACUGUCCCCACAUUUCGGGAUGACUUGCUGUGUACCUCCCAAGAACAGCCUCCUGCAACCAAAAAGCAGUUUUGUGGGAUGCUGAAUUUUGUUCCAAUAUAGAUUCGUCGGCAUCACAAUUUUCAGCUGUUCCUACGGUUAUCAUUUGUCCGUGUCUGGGGACUGGGGUGCAAGGAACGCUGGAGAGGGAUGGGGCAGGAGAGGAGGCUUAAGGCACUAAAUCCAACGAAUGACUGAAUUUGCUGCUCUGCUCAUGAGCCUUGGUUAGGCUUAUCCAAAGAGUUAGCAGUCCUGUUAUUUUGGAGCAAGCAGACCUUUGGCCAGCCUUUAAAAAAGUACGUUUCAUUAAAUAACAAGGACCUACUAUAUAGCACAGGGAACUUACACUCAGUAUCUUGAAUAACCCAUAAUGGAAAAGAACCUGAAAGAGAAUAUAUAUGUGUUAUAUAUGUAUGUAUGUAUGUAUCCUUUAGCUGUAUACCUGAAAUAACAACUUUGUAAAAUAGCUAUACUUCAAUUAAAAAAUAUACGGUUUAAACAGAAGAAAGGGUGGGGGAAAAAACUGUAAUUGCAGUGUAUACAUCUAAGGAUAACCUGACCCCCUUGCUGUACAGUG